UAAACUACUUUGAGCAAGAUUCCCACCUCCU
rnacentral:piRNA from 1 species